rnacentral:rRNA from 1 species
UGGGGAAUAUUGCACAAUGGGCGCAAGCCUGAUGCAGCCAUGCCGCGUGUGUGAAGAAGGCCUUCGGGUUGUAAAGCACUUUCAGCGAGGAGGAAGGUGGUGAGCUUAAUACGCUCAUCAAUUGACGUUACUCGCAGAAGAAGCACCGGCUAACUCCGUGCCAGCAGCCGCGGUAAUACGGAGGGUGCAAGCGUUAAUCGGAAUUACUGGGCGUAAAGCGCACGCAGGCGGUUUGUUAAGUCAGAUGUGAAAUCCCCGGGCUCAACCUGGGAACUGCAUUUGAAACUGGCAAGCUAGAGUCUCGUAGAGGGGGGUAGAAUUCCAGGUGUAGCGGUGAAAUGCGUAGAGAUCUGGAGGAAUACCGGUGGCGAAGGCGGCCCCCCUGGACGAAGACUGACGCUCAGGUGCGAAAGCGUGGGGCAGCAAACAGGAUUAGAUACCCUGGUAGUCCACGCUGUAAACGAUGUCAAUUUGGAGGUUGUGCCCUUGAGGCGUGGCUUCCGGAGCUAACGCGUUAAAUCGACCGCCUGGGGAGUACGGCCGCAAGGUUAAAACUCAAAGGAAUUG